rnacentral:rRNA from 1 species
AUUGAACGCUAACGGCGUGCUUAACACAUGCAAGUCGAACGGCAGCACAGCAGUAGCAAUACUGUGGGUGGCGAGUGGCGGACGGGUGAGUAAUGCAUAGGAAUCUGCCUUGUAAUGGGGGAUAACCCGGGGAAACUCGGGCUAAUACCGCAUAAUCUUUACGAAGCAAAGUGGGGGACCGUAAGGCCUCACGUUAUAAGAUGAGCCUAUGUUGGAUUAGCUAGUUGGUGGGGUAAAGGCCUACCAAGGCGACGAUCCACAGCUGGUCUGAGAGGAUGAUCAGCCACACUGGGACUGAGACACGGCCCAGACUCCUACGGGAGGCAGCAGUGGGGAAUAUUGGACAAUGGGGGAAACCCUGAUCCAGCAACGCCGUGUGUGUGAAGAAGGCCUUAGGGUUGUAAAGCACUUUCAGUAGGGAAGAAAAGCUUAGGGGUAAUAUCCUUGAGUAUUGGCGUUACCUACAGAAGAAGCACUGGCUAACUCUGUGCCAGCCGCCGCCGUAA